rnacentral:rRNA from 1 species
GACGAACGCUGGCGGCGUGCUUAACACAUGCAAGUCGAACGCUGAAGCUCAGCUUUUGUUGGGUGGAUGAGUGGCGAACGGGUGAGUAACACGUGAGUAACCUGCCUCCUUCUUUGGGAUAACGCCCGGAAACGGGUGCUAAUACUGGAUAUUCACUGGUCUUCGCAUGGGGGUUGGUGGAAAGGGUUUUUCUGGUGGGGGAUGGGCUCGCGGCCUAUCAGCUUGUUGGUGGGGUGAUGGCCUACCAAGGCUUUGACGGGUAGCCGGCCUGAGAGGGUGAGCGGUCACAUUGGGACUGAGAUACGGCCCAGACUCCUACGGGAGGCAGCAGUGGGGAAUAUUGCACAAUGGGCGCAAGCCUGAUGCAGCGACGCCGCGUGAGGGAUGGAGGCCUUCGGGUUGUGAACCUCUUUCGCUCAUGGUCAAGCCGCAACAAUGGUUGUGGUGAGGGUAGUGGGUAAAGAAGCGCCGGCUAACUACGUG